rnacentral:tRNA from 1 species
GAGAAGUGUAUUGAACACAAAGAACUGCUAAUUUUUACUACUGAAGUUAAAAUCCUCAGACUUCUCA